UACGGAGGGGGCGAGCGUUGUCCGAAGUUACUGGGCGUAAAGCGCGUGUAGGCGGGUUGCCAAGUCCGCUGUGAAAGCCCGAGGCUCAACCUCGGAGGGUCGGUGGAAACUGUCGGGCUAGAGUCCGGAAGAGGCGAGUGGAAUUCCCGGUGUAGCGGUGAAAUGCGCAGAUAUCGGGAGGAACACCAGUGGCGAAGGCGGCUACCUGGACCGGUUCUGACGCUGAGGCGCGAAAGCGUGGGUAGCAAACAGG
rnacentral:rRNA from 1 species